rnacentral:rRNA from 1 species
UACGAGAGGCCCAAACGUUAUUCGGAAUUACUGGGCUUAAAGAGUUCGUAGGCGGUAUGAAAAGUAGGGUGUGAAAGCCCUCGGCUCAACCGAGGAAUUGCGCUCUAAACUGUCGUACUCGAGGACCUAGAGGUGAGCAGAACAGAUGGUGGAGCGGUGAAAUGCGUUGAUAUCAUCUGGAAUACCGGAGGCGAAGGCGGCUCACUGGGGGUUUUCUGACGCUGAGGAACGGAAAGCCAGGGUAGCGAACGGG